AAGUGUUCGGAUCGCGGCGAUGCGGCCGGUUUGCCGGCCGCGAUGACGUGAGAAGUCCACUGAACCUUAUCAUUUAGAGGAAGGAGAAGUCGUAACAAGGUUUCCGUAGGUGAACCUGCGGAAGGAUCAUUGUCGCAUAGAACGACCCGACCCGACACACCUGCGAACGGUUGACCCCCCGACUCUUCUUUUAAACUCGCCGGCCGGGGCGGAGGAAGAUAAAUGGUACCUCUAGGUCGACGAUGGCCGGCUCGGCUCGGCUCGGUCCGUCAGUCGUUCCUCCUCCGCCCCUCUGCGUGCCCUCCUUCCCACCCGUCGGCUGCGGGGUGGUGGGACAACGAACCUUCCGGCGCGGCUGCGCCAAGGAUCAUAGAAUGGGGAAUGCCCCCGCGCGGGCCUCGCUUCGAGCGGGGAUGUGCGUGGUGUCGGUCGCCAUGAAUGAGUGAGUCACUAAACGACUCCCGACAACGGAUAUCUAGGCUCUCGCAUCGAUGAAGGACGUAGCGAAAUGCGAUACGUGGUGUGAAUUGCAGAAUCCCGUGAACCAUCGAAUUUUCGAACGCAAGUUGCGCCCGAGGUCGCUGGGCCGAGGGCACGCCUGUCUGGGCGUCACGCCUCGCGUUGCUCCCCGCCCCCAGCCCGCGGCGUCCACCCACUCCACGCGGCUGCGGAGGAUGAGGAUGCGGAGAUUGGCCUACCGUGCUCCGGCGCGGCUGGCUGAAGGAGCUUGUCCCCCGCGCGGGGCGAGCACGGUGAGCGGUGAUGAGUUCAGCGUGGUGGGCACUAUGGGUCGCACGCGCUCAUCGUUGUCGUGCUCGUCGCCGUCGAACAGAGCGGAACGGAGAGGAGUGUUGCUUGCCUAUUGUGAGGCAGAAGGAAGGAAGAAGGAAAGCCACUCUGCGAAGAAACCCAUCCGCGAGUUGACGCCGCCAUCGCUCGGAUUGUGACCCCAGGUCAGGCGGGGCCACCCGCUGAGUUUAAGCAUAUAAAUAAGCGGAGGAAAAGAAACUUACCAGGAUUCCCCUAGUAACGGC
rnacentral:rRNA from 1 species